AUGGAGGGGCCAGUCUUGGGCGAAGACACGCCAGGACCCCGAGCGGGAAGGGGGAAGGCAGUGGCAAGCGGUGUCGGGAUGGUCAGGGCGGCCGCUCCCCCCGGCCCGGCCCGGCUCCCUGCCCAUCCCCCGGCCCAGUCCGGCUCCCUGCACCCCCGGGCCUCCCCGCGGCCAGGAGCCCCACCCCGGCGGGCCUCGGGAGCCUCACCUCCGCCCAGGGGGGGAGACGCCAGCCGGGGGAGCCGCGGGGCCGCUCACGUGGAGGCGGGGGGCGGCGGCGGCGGCGGUCACGGCGAGCCCGCAGGCCGGGCGCGGCGGCGCAGCCCCCCCCCCCCCCUUCCGGCAGACGUGGCCACCUUCCGGGCCGGCGCGCGCAGGCGCGCUGGGGACGUCCGGGAGAUGGCGCCGCGCCACGCCCCCCCACCGGGUUGGGGGCGAGGCGGGGUAAGGCCGCGCCCCGUCCCGCCGGGAAGGGGCGGGGAAGGGCGUGGCCGCCCCGGAAGCCCCGCCCCGAGGCGGGUCCGCGGGGUGGGGGAGGGCCGAGAGCGGCCACCGCCUCGCGCGUCUGGCUCCGCCCCCGGCCCCGCCCCCUGCUCUGCCGCGGCCGUUGCGGGGUGCGGUGCCUCAGGGCGGCCGUGCUCGUGCCGCCCCGCGGGAGGCAGCGCCAGGCCCCCCUCAGUCCUCCGCUGCUUCCCGCCGUCGGCGCCGUGCCGCGCACAUGCGGCGGCCGCCCGCGGGGCGGGGAGAGGCGGUCCCCGGGCUUGCGGAGGUUGCGCAAGGGCGGGCGGAGCCGCGGGACGCGCCGUCAGCCGCGACACGCGUGCGGAGCUGGGGCGGGCUCUUCGCCACCCGCGGCCGCCCUGUGCUUCUGCCUUCUGCGGGCAGGAGGAGCUCCAGCCUCUCCGAAACGGCCUCCCCUGUCUCAGAACAGCUACAGCGUUGUCCUGGCUGUCCUGGCACGUUUUAAGGACAACGGCCUAUAGAAGGCGGCCUGACGGGUGCGCGGCGUUUCGCUCCCCAGCCCUCACUGAAGCGGUCGCCUCGCCCCAGCCCGGGAGGGCGGGCGCCGUUGCGGGUUCCCUUGGGGCGCCCCGGGAGGCCGGGCCGGGGCAGCACUGCUCCUUUUCUCUCCUUCCAGUGCCAGGCUUGCAGGGAAAAACACCUCCGCCUCGAUAUUGCCACUGA
rnacentral:lncRNA from 1 species